CAGCAGCCACAGGAGACGCCCCUGCCAGGGGAAGGAGAGUCCUGGCCUUUCCUUCUGGGUGGUAUGGGGUUGUUUUGUAUUUCCGGUACAUACUCUUCAAUAACCUCAAUAUGGACUUCAAAGCUAUUUAAUUAAGCCCCAUACCUAUAAAAAUGAACAUUUAAUACUCAGAGAAAACCCAUGACUUAUUCAUUCUGAAGAUAAACAGGUGAGAUAUCUUCUCAAGCUCAGAGUUCUGAGAUAAUUAAGAUUGGUUGCCAUAGAGAAAGAGAGAUAGAGA
rnacentral:lncRNA from 1 species